UGCUGGAGGUAUCAGAAGUGCGAAUGCUGACAUGAGUAACGAUAAUGGGUGUGAAAAACACCCACGCCGAAAGACCAAGGUUUCCUGCGCAACGUUAAUCGACGCAGGGUUAGUCGGUCCCUAAGGCGAGGCUGAAGAGCGUAGUCGAUGGGAAACAGGUUAAUAUUCCUGUACUUCUAGUUACUGCGAUGGAGGGACGGAGAAGGCUAGGCCAGCUUGGCGUUGGUUGUCCAAGUUUAAGGUGGUAGGCAGAGUGCUUAGGUAAAUCCGGGCGCUUAAUGCCGAGAACUGAUGACGAGUCGUCUUUUAGACGAUGAAGUGGUUGAUGCCAUGCUUCCAAGAAAAGCUUCUAAGCUUCAGGUAACCAGGAACCGUACCCCAAACCGACACAGGUGGUUGGGUAGAGAAUACCAAGGCGCUUGAGAGAACUCGGGUGAAGGAACUAGGCAAAAUGGCACCGUAACUUCGGGAGAAGGUGCGCCGGUGAGGGUGAAGGACUUGCUCCGUAAGCUCAUGCCGGUCGAAGAUACCAGGCCGCUGCGACUGUUUAUUAAAAACACAGCACUCUGCAAACACGAAAGUGGACGUAUAGGGUGUGACGCCUGCCCGGUGCCGGAAGGUUAAUUGAUGGGGUUAGCUAACGCGAAGCUCUUGAUCGAAGCCCCGGUAAACGGCGGCCGUAACUAUAACGGUCCUAAGGUAGCGAAAUUCCUUGUCGGGUAAGUUCCGACCUGCACGAAUGGCGUAACGAUGGCGGCGCUGUCUCCACCCGAGACUCAGUGAAAUUGAAAUCGCUGUGAAGAUGCAGUGUAUCCGCGGCUAGACGGAAAGACCCCGUGAACCUUUACUAUAGCUUUGCACUGGACUUUGAAUUUGCUUGUGUAGGAUAGGUGGGAGGCUUUGAAGCGUGGACGCCAGUUCGCGUGGAGCCAACCUUGAAAUACCACCCUGGCAACUUUGAGGUUCUAACUCAGGUCCGUUAUCCGGAUCGAGGACAGUGUAUGGUGGGUAGUUUGACUGGGGCGGUCUCCUCCCAAAGUGUAACGGAGGAGUUCGAAGGUACGCUAGGUACGGUCGGACAUCGUGCUAAUAGUGCAAUGGCAUAAGCGUGCUUAACUGCGAGACUGACAAGUCGAGCAGAUGCGAAAGCAGGACAUAGUGAUCCGGUGGUUCUGUAUGGAAGGGCCAUCGCUCAACGGAUAAAAGGUACUCCGGGGAUAACAGGCUGAUACCGCCCAAGAGUUCAUAUCGACGGCGGUGUUUGGCACCUCGAUGUCGGCUCAUCUCAUCCUGGGGCUGUAGCCGGUCCCAAGGGUAUGGCUGUUCGCCAUUUAAAGUGGUACGCGAGCUGGGUUUAGAACGUCGUGAGACAGUUCGGUCCCUAUCUGCCGCAAGUGGUGAAAAUUGAGAGAACUAAACUCUAGUACGAGAGGACCGAGUUAAGUAAACCAAUGGUGCACUGAUUGUUAUAUCAAUAGCAUGGUCAGGUAGCUAAGUUUAUAAAAAAUAACCGCUGAAAGCAUAUAAGUGGGAAAUUUUUCUCAAAACAAAUUUU
rnacentral:rRNA from 1 species